CAGCAGCCGCGGGAAUACGAAGGGGGCUAGCGUUGUUCGGAAUUACUGGGCGUAAAGGGCGCGUAGGCGGCCAUUCAAGUUAGAUGUGAAAGCCCUGGGCUCAACCUAGGAAUUGCAUUUGAUACUGUUUGGCUUGAGUUCGGGAGAGGUGAGUGGAAUUCCCAGUGUAGAGGUGAAAUUCGUAGAUAUUGGGAAGAACACCGGUGGCGAAGGCGGCAACCUGGUCCAUUACUGACGCUGAGGCGCGACAGCGUGGGGAGCAAACAGGAUUAGAUACCCCUGUAGUCCCUGUCUCUUAUAC
rnacentral:rRNA from 1 species